AGAGGAGCAUCUACCGCAUUGAAGACAUGUUCUGUCGGGCUGCCGGUGCUUUGUGACUCAGCGUUCAUAUGGAGAAAAAAAGAAGAUGAAGCACAUUGCCUUUGCACUUUAAUAGCCUGUAGUUGUAGUAUUUGUAGAAUUGGUCCUUAUUCCAUUUCAAAUUUUGUAAUUAAAAAUAUAUAUAUUAUUGAAGAAUCAUGGAUCAGUUUCGUGGUUUGUUUGUGAAACUAGACAAGAAUAACGACGGGUCUAUAUCUGUGGAAGAACUUCAUAAUGAGAUGAAAAAAACUGGAAUUAUGGCUGCAGAUCAGAAGGCUCAGACUGUCGUUAAUAACUAUGACCGAAACAAGGAUGGACGUUUAGAUUAUGACGAAUUUCUAAGCUAUAUGAGUGACAGAGAGAAGAAAUGGAGAAUUCACUUCAUGGCCCUUGACAAGAAUAAAUGCGGGGUCAUUGGCCAGGAGGAAAUCAUAGAUCUGUUCAAGGAGUUAGGAGUGAACAUAUCAAAGCCGAAUGCAAAAAGAAUUAUACAAAUGAUGGAUGAGGACAGUUCUAUGACCGUGGACUGGGGAGAGUUCCUGCAGCAUGUCAUCCUCAACCCCGCAGAGAAUCUGGGAGAACUGGUCACUUCAUGGAAACACACUCUGGUGUUUGAUGUGGGUGAGAGCCGGACCAUGCCCCUGGAGCUGCCCCCGGACCUGUCAGCAGGCUCAGGGGAAUGGAGGAGUUUUGUCCUGGCUGCAGGGCUGGCCGACGCCGUGUCCAGAACCCUGACUGCUCCUAUCGACCGCCUCAAGACACAACUACAGGAACAAUAUUAUAACCUAAACACUUCUUUAAUACAGCUUGAUAAAACCCAGUAAUACUUUGCAUUGCCAGACUUCGUAGUCUCAUAUUCACAUGGUUCAGAAAUGAACCCUAACUCUAACUCUAACCCUACAGAAAUGAAUGGUAGAGACCUACAGGUAACUGUCAAAAAUAAUGGAAACACUUGAGUAAAUGAGGGGUACAACGUAUAUUGAAAUCAGGUGCUUCCACACAGGUGUGGUUCCUGUGUUAAUUAAGCAAUUAACAUCCCAUCAUGCUUAGGGUCAUGUAUAAAAAGGCUGUACAGGACAUUAUUUUGGCUACCAUGGCUAUGCCUCCAUAGGAUGAUAAUGCCUCCAUAGGAUGACAAUGCCCUCAUUAGAUGAUAAUGCCUCCAUAGGAUGACAAUGCCCUCAUAGGAUGACUAUGCCUCCAUAGGAUGACAAUGCCCUCAUAGGAUGAUAAUGCCCACAUAGGAUGACAAUAGCCCUCAUCCACAGGGUACAAGCGGUCCCUGAAUGGUUUGAUGAGCAUGAAAACGAUAUAAACCAUAAACCCUGGCCGUCUCAGUCACCAGAUCUCAAACCAGUUAAACACUAACGGGAGAUUCUGGAGCGACGCCUGAGACAGCGGUUUCCACCAACAAAACAUCAACUGAUGGAAUUUCUCAUGGAAGAAUGGUUCCAGACCCUUGUAGAAUCUAUAGAAUGGUGUCGCAUUCCUCCAAUCGAGUUCCAGACACUUGUAGAAUCUAUAGAAUGGUGUCGCAUUCCUCCAAUCGAGUUCCAGACCCUUGUAGAAUCUAUAGAAUGGUGUCGCAUUUCUCCAAUCGAGUUCCAGACACUUGUAGAAUCUAUAGAAUGGUGUCGCAUUCCUCCAAUCGAGUUCCAGACACUUGUAGAAUCUAUAGAAUGGUGUCGCAUUCCUCCAAUCGAGUUCCAGACCCUUGUAGAAUCUAUAGAAUGGUGUCGCAUUCCUCCAAUCGAGUUCCAGACACUUGUAGAAUCUAUAGAAUGGUGUCGCAUUCCUCCAAUCGAGUUCCAGACACUUGUAGAAUCUAUAGAAUGGUGUCGUAUUCCUCCAAGCGAGUUCCAGACACUUGUAGAAUCUAUAGAAUGGUGUCGCAUUCCUCCAAUCGAGUUCCAGACCCUUGUAGAAUCUAUAGAAUGGUGUCGCAUUCCUCCAAUCGAGUUCCAGACACUUGUAGAAUCUAUAGAAUGGUGUCGCAUUCCUCCAAUCAAGUUCCAGACCCUUGUAGAAUCUAUAGAAUGUUGUCGCAUUCCUCCAAUCGAGUUCCAGACCCUUGUAGAAUCUAUAGAAUGGUGUCGCAUUCCUCCAAUCGAGUUCCAGACACUUGUAGAAUCUAUAGAAUGGUGUCGCAUUCCUCCAAUCGAGUUCCAGACACUUGUAGAAUCUAUAGAAUGGUGUCGCAUUCCUCCAAUCGAGUUCCAGACACUUGUAGAAUCUAUAGAAUGGUGUCGCAUUCCUCCAAUCGAGUUCCAGACACUUGUAGAAUCUAUAGAAUGUUGUCGCAUUCCUCCAAUCGAGUUCCAGACACUUGGAGAAUCUAUAGAAUGGUGUCGCAUUUGUAACAGUAUAACUUUAGACCGUCCCCUCGCCCAUACCCGGGCGCGAACCAGGGACCCUCUGCUCACAUCAACAACAGUCACCCAAGAAGCAUCGCACCACCGCUAACUAGCUAGCCAUUUCACGUUAGUUACGCAUUCUUCCAAUCGAGUUCUAGACACUUGUAGAACAGUAGAGGUUCGUGGGUAAAAUAACUGGAAAACCACAAGUCCAAAUCCCUAUCUCCAUCCAUGGCUAAUUUAUGAAAAGGGACAAUUUUCGCCAGCUAGCCCCCAGAGAACGACUCAACGAGAUGCAACAAUUCAAGUUUUUCUGUCAAUGAGGUAUGCUCUUAAUGGGAUUUGAUGGCAGGCUUGCUAGGUGUAGCUAACAUUUCGAGCCCAAUGACCCGUGAAAACCUGAAAGGCCUGAAAACUAGCCCAAUUUUUUAUUUUAUUUUUUGCAUCAAGAGAGGAGUUGCCAUUUAUCUAAUAAACUAUUUUUCCACAACGUUACUGAGUGAAUUAAGAAGGAAUAUUGACUUUAUUUUUAACGACAUAGGCUAAAAUACUACAUUCGGUUUUCCAUCAAAAUAAUAAUUAUAUGUGGCAAGAGAAAGAAUAAAUCACCCUUAUUAUUAAACUCCAGAUCAUUUUAAAAGCAAUGGAUGUUGAUUUAACUUGUUUGGACUGUUAUGAUAUAAGGCCGAGGAGGUGUGGUAUAUGGACAAUAUUCAGGGCUCAAAUCACCCAGGUUAUAGUUGGAAAUAAAUCCUGUUUGCCCAUGUGCAUAACUAUUGAUAAAUCUGACAGGAGAGUUUGAGUGGUGAAAAUUGGACAGAGGAUCUCAAUCUCUGUAGACGAAACACUUUGACCAACUUAAAAUUAAAAUAAAUGUAUUUUUUGGUAAUUGUGCCGUUAUUAUGUGUUAGAUGUUAAGACUACAAACCUUUAUAAAUGGCCCAUUUGUGAGAUUGACUUGUUAUUUCAAUAGGCUACUGACUAAAAUCUGGGUUUAUCCUUUCAAUUCAACUUUGAGAUGAUUUGCUGAGCUAGAUGCAGGUAGUUUAUGAUUGGCCAACAUGCCAACAUCUAAUUUCAGAUACAGUGGAGAAUGAUACAUUUAUGAUAGAGCCAUGACCAUGAUCACAAUCGAUAACUUCCAGUUUAAUUAACUAAACAUUGACGUUAAUAAUUGCACAAUAACACAAGGCAACAUCAACAAACUAAGUUACAGGCUAUUUAUUAAGUCUGUUUGCCAGCUCCAGGUAAUGCUACACAUUGAUUUGCAAUGCCUCCAGAAAUAUCGUCAUUUCAACAUCGUGUACGGUAUCAAAUGGUAGGCUACAGCAUCCUACAAUGCCAUAUAAAUGAAUAGCCUACUUGAUGGCCAACAGAUGCAAAUGCAGUCUAUCAUUCUCUAUAUUAAAGGUCAUUUUCAUUGUGGACGUUUUCCCAUAACAGAACGUUUUCCAAUAACAGAACGUUUUCCCAUAUUACAUUUCCGCUCUUGCACAGCGCCUCCAGACUCUAUAACUGAGUAUGAGUUAAAUCCUUCACUUGAUACUAUUAUCGACAUUAGAAUGCAGUUUACUUUAAACCACCUCUGAGCGAAUUUAUCUAAAGAGCAUCUAGUGCGCCUAAAGUCGUUUUUUCAAUGCUUUCUCGUUUUUAUAUCAAUUCUAGCGAAAAGGGAGUCUCCAUAGUGACCAAUCUAAAUAGUAUACUUAAACAACCGGUAAAAAAAAGUUGUCACGCCGUAACUCCGCUGCCUCUGCUCUCUCAACCAGUGCUCUCAACACACAUACACACCUCUGGCGCUCCCCCUCUUCUCCUCUCAGCCUCUUGCGAAUUGAAGGAAAAUUACAAUUAUUAUAAAUUCUUUUUUAAUAUUGGUCAAUGUUUUGGGGGGGAAGCCUGGCUUCCCUUGGUAUCCUUGCAUACACGCCACUGUUGUAGAAUCUAUGCCAAGUGGCAUUGAAGUAGAAACUCCCAUCUAAGGAUCUGUUUUCUUCGGCCAACUAUUUACUGUGUUUAAGGGAAUCGCUGGAUCGAUUGCUUUCAUUUUACUCCUGCGUCUCUUUCAUACUUUGGCUUUUGUGUCUAUCGUUAUCCCCCCCGUUAACAUUACGACUUUGGAAAGGCUUGUCAAUGACCUGUCAAACACACCCCGGUAACGGCCGAAAUGUGUCCAAUGAAAUACCUGUCUUUCCGUUGUAUCUAUAAAAACGACAAAAGAUUAAUCUGGCAUUUAACGCACCAUCUCGACACUUACAUCACAUGAAAGAGAAGAAACACGACUUUAUUUAAAAAAUAAAUGGGAAUUGAAAAUCAUUUAUCAUUUAGUACAGUUGACAUUUUUUUAAAAUUAGAUGCGAUGAAAUUAAAGCAAUUUCCCCCUCAAAAAUGAACACUCGGAUUAUAGUGAUAUUAUUUUCGGUAUGUAUAGAUAGGUCAUGAGGUAGUCUCGACAGUGCAGGUAAGGCGUUUGCAGUCCUAUUCCGACCCUUUGUGUUAAUGUUUGAUAUAUGCAAAUACACCCAGUGUAUUUGGACCAUCUUUUUCCAUUAUCCAACUAAUGUAUUUAUUUGAAUUGUUUACAAAUUCAAUGACAGUUGCUAAUUGAAGCUCGUGGUUUCUAUUGUUUUGGCAGUUACCUGUAUGAACCGUGAAUCCGUGGACUGGAGACAGAGGUUAAUCAUUAAAGAAGAUAUUGUGUGUGUAUUUAGGUGUAUGGAUCCAAGGCGUCCUCCCAGGGAUUCAGAGAGCUAAAGGCGGGGGGUGUGAGGUCUAUGUGGCAGGGAAACGCUGUGAACGUGCUGAAGGGAACCCCCCAGUCAACUCUGCAGUGCCUCAUCUACGCUCAGAUGAAGGUGUACACCCAGCGCUGGCAGCAGGAGAGUCUGUCAGUACAGCAGAGGUUUGGGCUGGGCUGUGUGUCUGGGGCGGUGGCUCAUGCUGUCUUCUAUCCUCUAGAGGUACCAGAGCUCUAUGACAGGUGCUAAAGGUGAGACUGAACCUAUGGGCAGGUACCUACAGCGGGGUGGUGCAGUGUGCCCGCUCCAUCUACAGGAAUGAGUCUGCUGCAUCCUUCUACAGGGGCUUCAGACCCAGUAUCCUCUGUAUGAUUCCCUACGCUGGGGUGGAGUGUGCCGUUCACCAGGUCAGACAGCCUAACACUCUAUCACAUCUGUAGUAUACUAUCUGUAGUGAACUAUCUAUCUGUAGUGAACUAUCUAUCUGUAGUGAACUAUCUAUCUGUAGUGUACUAUCUAUCUGUAGUGUACUAUCUAUCUGUAGUGUACUAUCUAUCUGUAGUGAACUAUCUGUAGUGAACUAUCUGUAGUGUACUAUAGAUGAUUGGGUACCAUUUGGGACUCCAUGUACAUUCCAUUUGAAGUAUAUUACCAUAGAGAUCUAUGAAUUGAGUUCUAUAUGGGGACUUGUGUGUACUUGUUGGCCUACACACUCCGUUCUUGGACUGGUGAAAACUCUAGCCCUUCUGAGCAAGUUCACACUUCAAGAUGGGUAUGAAAACAUAAAGCAACCUUGUUUUACAGUAAUCUACUCCACUCUCUUCCUCUCUCCCCCCAUCUCUCUCACAUCUGUUAGUCCGUCUUGAGUUGGAUAUGACUGACCAGGUCAGGCUCCACUCUCUUCCUCUCUCCCCCCUCUCUCACAUCUGUUAGUCUGUCUUGAGUUGGAUAUGACUGACCAGGUCAGGCUCCACUCUCUUCCUCUCUCCCCCCUCUCUCACAUCUGUUAGUCCGUCUUGAGUUGGAUAUGACUGACCAGGUCAGACUUCACUCUCUUCCUCUCUCCCCCCUCUCUCACAUCUCUUAGUCCGUCUUGAGUUGGAUAUGACUGACCAGGUCAGACUUCACUCUCUUCCUCUCUCCCCCCUCUCUCACAUCUCUUAGUCCGUCUUGAGUUGGAUAUGACUGACCAGGUCAGACUUCACUCUCUUCCUCUCUCCCCCCUCUCUCUCACAUCUCUUAGUCCGUCUUGAGUUGGAUAUGACUGACCAGGUCAGACUUCACUCUCUUCCUCUCUCCCCCCUCUCUCUCACAUCUCUUAGUCCAUCUUAAGUUGGAUAUGACUGACCAGGUCAGACUUCACUCUCUUCCUCUCUCCCCCCUCUCUCUCACAUCUCUUAGUCCGUCUUGAGUUGGAUAUGACUGACCAGGUCAGACUUCACUCUCUUCCUCUCUCCCCCCUCUCUCUCACAUCUCUUAGUCCGUCUUGAGUUGGAUAUGACUGACCAGGUCCACUCUCUUACUUUCCCCACCCCCUCUCUCUCAACUGUCAGUCCAUUUUGAGUUGGCUAUGACCAACCUGUUCAGAGAGCCCAACAUGAACUAUAUCAACCUUAUUUUAUUGUUUAUCUGCGUGCCACAAGAUUGUGUUGUUUGCCCUCUGAGCAAAAGCCUGUGAAUGAAGGAGGCCUGAGUUCAAACCCAUUGAUUUGACAUCAAUCUAAUGGGUAUCCUAUCACUGACUCUCCUCUCUCUCCUUUCUCUCUCUCUCCUUUCUCUCUCUCUCUGUAUCUCUCUGUCCCCCUCUCUCUCUCUCCUUUCUCUCUCUCUCCUUUCUCUCUCUGUCCCCCUCUCUCUCUCUCCUUUCUCUCUCUCUCCUUUCUCUCUCUGUCCCCCCCUCUCUCUCUCCUUUCUCUCUCUCUCUGUAUCUCUCUGUCCCCCUCUCUCUCAUUUUCUCACCUCCCCCUCUAUCUCCCCCCCUCUCUCUCCCUCUCCCGCAGUCCAUUGUGACCUGGGCUAAGACCCAACAGGACUACAGCAGUGACUCCCAGCUCUUCUUUUUCAGUUUUGUGGCCUUCUCUGCUGGACAGAUGAGCAGCUAUCCUCUAGCUGUGAUCAGGACCCAGCAGCAAGCUCAGGGUAACGGUCGAUCCAUGCAAAGAACAAUAAGCAGGAACAUUUUCAUUCAAUUAAAAUAAGCCACUCAUUUAUCUGUUUCAAUGAACUCUGCAUGUAACUUUUCCUGACCAUGUGAUCUAACCAGAACACCCACUGUCUCUAGGGCCAUGUGACACUGUCGCUAGGGCCAUGUGAUCUAACCAGGACACCCACCAUCCCUAGGGCCAUGUGAUCUAACCAGGACACCCACUGUCUCUAGGGCCAUGUGAUCUAACCAGGACACCCACUGUCCCUAAGGCCAUGUGAUCUAACGAGGACAUCGUCCCUAGGGCCAUGUGAUCUAACCAGGACAUCGUCCCUAGGGCCAUGUGAUCUAACCAGGACACCCACUGUCCCUAAGGCCAUGUGAUCUAACGAGGACAUCGUCCCUAGGGCCAUGUGAUCUAACGAGGACAUCGUCCCUAGGGCCAUGUGAUCUAACCAGGACACCCACUGUCCCUAAAGCCAUGUGAUCUAACCAGGACACCCACUGUCCCUAAGGCCAUGUGAUCUAACGAGGACAUCGUCCCUAGGGCCAUGUGAUCUAACCAGGACACCCACUGUCCCUAGGGCCAUGUGAUCUAACCAGGACACCCACUGUCCCUAGGGCCAUGUGAUCUAACCAGGACACCCACCAUCCCUAGGGCCAUGUGAUCUAACCAGGACACCCACUGUCCCUAGGGCCAUGUGAUCUAACCAGGACACCCACUGUCCCUAGGGCCAUGUGAUCUAACCAGGACACCCACUGUCCCUAAGGCCAUGUGAUCUAACGAGGACAUCGUCCCUAGGGCCAUGUGAUCUAACCAGGACAUCGUCCCUAGGGCCAUGUGAUCUAACGAGGACAUCGUCCCUAGGGCCAUGUGAUCUAACCAGGACACCCACUGUCCCUAAAGCCAUGUGAUCUAACCUGGACACCCACUGUCCCUAAGGCCAUGUGAUCUAACGAGGACAUCGUCCCUAGGGCCAUGUGAUCUAACCAGGACAUCGUCCCUAAGGCCAUGUGAUCUAACGAGGACAUCGUCCCUAAGGCCAUGUGAUCUAACCAGGACACUCACCGUUCCUAGGACCAGAAGUGUGUCUUGCUUUCAGUUCAACUUCACCCACAACUUUUCUUCAGGGGUUCACAGGCAUCUAUGAGAGACAUGGAAUACGAGGAUACUACAAUGGGAUGGGGGCCAGUUUCGUCCGGGCGAUUCCAUGCGCUCUGUUAAACUACACCUUGAUGAAGAAACUAGACACAAUGCUUUCCUGAUUUCAGAGUCAUAGUUAAUUAUAAUUUGUUGUAGGUUUUUGUGAAUGAUUUUAUGUAAUACUCUGUACAAAACAACAACCUUUAAACUUGAUGCCAUUGUCAAUAAACUGUCCCAAAAUACUUCAAAUUGCAAUGAACUACCAAAUAUACAACCAAAGGACUGUUGUUGGAGGGCUGAUUGGGGCCCAAUCUCCAGCCUGACCAAUCCUUUGUUGACCCCUAUUGUCAUUAAAUCAGUGUGAAGUAUC